AGCUCCACUAGCGUAUAUUAUUAAUGUUGCGGUUGAAACGUUCGUAGUCUUGUAAGAUGUGUAGACACGUUGACGUCUAUAUGUCGUCGCGUUCUCAACACAUACGAUAGCACAGGGUCCUUAUGCCCUUCGCAAUUUACCUUGAUUAACUCGGCGCGCUUACAGCAGGCACUAGCCGUGAACGAUUAACCAUGGUAUAAUUACGCUUUAGCCACUCUACUUUUGAUCGAGCGGUAGAUGGUUGACUCCCAUGAGAACGGUUAAGGGCAUCCGGAUUGUGUAGUCAGAGGUGAAAUUCUAAGAUUUACACAGGCCGAUCAACGGCGGAGGCACUUGCCCGAAACGUUUCUG
rnacentral:rRNA from 1 species